rnacentral:piRNA from 1 species
UGGGAAAUGAAAAAAGAAAAGACAUGGGCCA